AGUUUUUAUUAUUUUUUAGAACCCGUUUGUUCUUGGGUUGGCCGCUGUGUAUCGGGGCUCGGGGUCGGAAUCGAAUUAUAGUGCAAGAGAUCGCAUUUUCGCCUCUCUUGCGGUGACAAGUCUCCGCAGGUGGUGUCCCCGCACCCCAAGAUCCGGAUGCUGCAAACUUUGGCCAUGGGUUCUGUAGCUAAUCUCUUGUGCACUGUGUAAACCUUUCUCCGGUCAAUACAAUGGCCAGUGAGCUUAGGCAGGAAAUUAGAAGGUGUGAUGCCUGGAAAAGAGAGGGGCCGGGGUGGAUGCCGGGAUCGACACCGACGCAAGUUUGGCCCCAGAACGCUGAUGGAGAUAGCAGCAAAAACUGAGAACCAGGUAACCAGCCACGUGUGGCAGAACUUAGAAUAACGGGAUGAUUAUGCACGAAUCAGGAAACAGUCAAAGCUUAUGGUGGUGACCGUCUGCGGCCACAACUUCUGCCGCGAGUGUAUCUGACGUUGCUGGGGCCAGCAACUUAGAAAAGUUGUGGACAGCGAGUGCUAAACUAGAAAGCCAGGCACGGCUUCUCUCCCGUAAGAUUUCCCGUAGCGGCGGGCUGAGCGCUUGAGCGGCCGUCUAUAAGCAACUGGGUAGCGAGCCGGAACGCACUCCAGCCUGCGUCUGCAGCGGCCCGGGUCUAGCACUCCCGCGGCUGCUGAGUCAGGCAGCGGCCGGCCACGAGCCUCUGGCGUGGCCCGCAGGCGAGCAGCUUCUCAGAGCUGCACGAACCAAGCGCAGUUUGCGAUCCAGAGCUGGGGCACAUAGGCCUGGCUUUCAGCCGGUGGCUGCAGGUAAAGACCUAAAGCCAUUCUCGAGCAGCAGGUCGGAAGGGCCUGCAGAAAGAUGGAAACAAUGGGGGCAGCCUCCUGAACUGAGCUGAGGGGUUGAAGUUAGCCACCGUAGACACUUGCUGGUCUGUGGAGCCUGCAGACGCACUAAAGAACAAAAGGAACAUUUUCCCGCAGCGGCUAUGGGACUAAAAAGCCCCAAACUUCUGAACCGGUAAGGUAUUAAGUUUGAAAACAAUAAAAGAGGAAAGAGACUAAAUAUAAAACAUCGUAGACAAAUAUAGUUUAAGUUGGUAAAUCGAAGUUUUUAAGGAGAUAGAGAUUAAAGGGAAAAUAUCUUCUAUGAUAAAAAUGGAAAGAACUCAGUGGCACAGGGCAUCUAGAGUCUGUAUAAUUUUUGCUAUAGUUAUCAGCAUAUAAAUAAUUUUUUUCAGUAACGAUAACAAAUUUUCUAUAUCUUUUUAAAGAGAGAUCAAAAGAAAGCAAACUUAGAUAAGGAGAAGACUGGAAGAUGUAGGUUACAGGCCUUAGAAGAAAAAUU
rnacentral:lncRNA from 1 species